AAAUAUCUAAAACAUUUAUUCCAACACUCAACAGAUAGUUUUGCUAAAUAUGAUAACUAGAUAGCCAAUAAAAUUACAAAAAAUAUUUAAAUAGUAAAAAAUAUGUUAAUUUAACGUGUUAAAAUUUAAACAUAAAUUUUAAUUAUGACAUACAUCUUAACAUUUAUAUAAAUAUAUAUCAUAACCUAAAUAUAAAUAAUUUAACAACUUAAAUUAGAAAAAUAUAAAAAUCCCGGGCGUAGCCCGGGUUAAUCCCUAGUCUCUACUAAUAAAAGAGAGCUUUUGAGGCUCCAUAUGACGUCCACAUCAGCGGAAAAAAUUUCUCCUAAAAAGAUGACACGUGGCAUAAAAUAUUUACAUUUUAAUAUUAAUUAUUUUCGAAAAUUGUAAAAAAUAUGUAAACAUACAGCAUUAAAAAUGAAAAACUACAUUAAACAUAUGUAAGAUUACUAUUUUUCACUUAAAAAAAAAGAUGGCUUAUCUCCAUAAUGUAACACUACCGUUUUAUAAAAAAAAAACAAAAAACAUUAUAUAUAAUUUCGAAAAUAAUAAUUAUAUGUAAAACAUACAACAUAAAAAUGGAAAUACUACAAUAAACAUAAAUAUGUUUGACUAUUUGUCCAAGUUCUUCUAUUAAACAUUGCCGUUUUACAUUAAAAAUAGAAAAAUACGUAAAAAUUUAAACAUCUAUCUUAAAAUAUAAAAUAUAGACAUUAACUAAAUAUAAAGUAUAAAAAAGAGAAAUACUCAAUAUAUAAAAAAAAUAAUAAGUAAAUAUUAUAAAUAUAUAAAUAUACGAAUUAUAUAUACAAUAAUAAGUAAAUGCACAAUUUUUAAAAAAUGAAAAGAGUAUAUUAAAUAUUAAACAUCUAUCUUAAAAUGUAAAAUAUAGAUAUUAAGUAAAUAGAAAAUAUAAGAAAAAGAAAUAAACAACUUAAAAACAAUGAAAAAAGUAUAUUAAGAUUUAAACAUCUAUCUUAAAAUGUAAAAUAUAGAUAUUACGCAAAUAGAAAGUAUAAGAAAAGGAAAUACACAAUUUAAAAAAAAAUGGAAAAAGUACAUUAGUAUUUAAACAUCUAUCUUAAAAUGUAAAUCAAUCUUAAAAUAUAAAAUAAUUUAAAAAAAAUGGAAAAGUACAUUAGUAUUUAAACAUCUAUCUUAAAAUGUAAAUCAAUCUUAAAAUAUAAAAUUAUUAGUAAAUAGAAAGUAUAAGAAAUAAAAAUACACAAUAUAAAGAAAAAUAAAUAAUAAGUAAAUAUAUAAUAUAAUCUCGAAAGAUGACACGUGACUAGGGGUGUCAAAAUGGGUCAUGACUCAUGGGUUGACCCAACCCAAUUUGACCCAUUAACCCAAAUGAACUGUUUAUUUUUGAUCCAAUGGGUUAAUGGGUUAAAAGGUUAAUGGAUUAACAGGUUAAUGGAUUAACAGGUUAAUGGGUUAACAAGUUAAUGGGUUUAUUGGGUUGGGUCAACUCUGACCCAUUUUGUUUUCAAUUAAAAAAAACCAUGAGUAAACUCAAUUCUAAGGUUUGAUAAAAUUGGAAAUCAUGAAUUUCUCUAAAGUCCAAUCAUUUAUUCCCGCAAAAACCAAUUUUCCCGCCAAAAACCAAUUUUCCCGCCAAAAACGCAUUUUCCCGCCAAAAACGCAUUUUCCCGCCAAAACCGCAAAAACCCAUUUUCCCGCCAAAACCGCAAAAACCCAUUUUCCCGCCAAAACCUCAAAACCUCAUUUUCUCGCCAAAACUGCAAAAACGCAUUUUCCCGCCAAAAACGCAUUUUCCCGCCAAAAUCGCAAAAAUGCAUUUUCCCGCCAAAACCGCAAAAACGCGUUUUCCCGCCAAAACCGCAAAAACGCAUUUUUCCGCCAAAACUGGGAAAAUUCACUUUCCCGCAAAAAUGUUAUUUUCCGCCUAAACCACAAAAAACAUUUUAUCAUUUUGAUCAACUUGGUCUUAACUUAAAAAUAAUUUAUUAUAAAGAUAUUGGGUCCAUGGGUCAACCAUUAACCCAUCUAACUUUUUUAAUUUAAUGGGUCAUGGGUCAACCCAACCUAUUUAAUAAAUGGGUUGGGUUGACCCAUGACUCAUUAACAGUAAACCCAUUUGGGUUUUGGGUUGGGUUGACCCAUUUGACCCAUUUUGACACCCCUACACGUGACAUUAAACAUAUGUAAGAUUACUAUUUUUCACUUAAAAAAAAGACGGCUUAUCUCCAUAAUGUAACAUUACCGUUUUAUAAAAAAAACAAAAAACGUUAUAUAUAAUUUCGAAAAUAAUAAAUAUAUGUAAAACAUACAACAUAAAAAUGGAAAUACUACAAUAAACAUAAAUAUGUUUGACUAUUUGUCCAAGUUCUUCUAUUAAACAUUGUCGUUUUACAUUAAAAAUAGAAAAAUACGUAAAGAUUUAAACAUUUAUCUUAAAAUAUAAAAUAUAGACAUUAACUAAAUAUAAAGUAUAAAAAAGAGAAAUACUCAAUAUAUAAAAAAUAAUAAUAAGUAAAUAUUAUAAAUAUACGAAUUAUAUAUACAAUAAUAAGUAAAUGCACAAUUUUUUAAAAAUGGAAAGAGUAUAUUAAAUAUUAAACAUCUAUCUUAAAAUGUAAAAUAUAGAUAUUAAGUAAAUAGAAAAUAUAAGAAAAAGAAAUACACAACUUAAAAACAAUGAAAAAAGUAUAUUAAGAUUUAAACAUCUAUCUUAAAAUGUAAAAUAUAGAUAUUACGCAAAUAGAAAGUAUAAGAAAAGGAAAUACACAAUUUAAAAAAAUAGAAAAAGUACAUUAGUAUUUAAACAUCUAUCUUAAAAUGUAAAUCAAUCUUAAAAUAUAAAAUUAUUAGUAAAUAGAAAGUAUAAGAAAUAAAAAUACACAAUAUAAAGAAAAAUAAAUAAUAAGUAAAUAUAUAAUAUAAUCUCGAUAGAUGACACGUGGCAUAAAAUAUAGUUUUACAUUUUAAUAUUACUUAUUUUUGAAAAUUAUAAAAAAUAUGUAAACAUACAGCAUAAAAAAUGGAAAAACUACAUUAAACAUAUGUAAGAUUACUAUUUUUCACUUAAAAAAAGACGGCUUAUCUUCAUCAUGUAACAUUACCGUUUUAUACAAACAACAAAAAACAUUAUAUAUAAUUUUAAAAAUAAUAAAUAUAUGUAAAACAUACAACAUAAAAAUUGAAAUACUACAUUAAACAUAUGUAAGAUUACCAUUUUACAUUUUUAUUUUAAGAAAAUAAUAUGUAAACAUACAACAUAAAAAUAAAAAACUACAUUAAACAUAUGUAAGAUUACCAUUUUUCACUAAAAAAAAAGACGGCUUAUCUCCAUAAUGUAACAUUACUAUUUUGUAAAAAAGAAAAUUAUAUAUAAUUUCGAAAAUAAUAAAUAAUAUGUAAA
rnacentral:lncRNA from 1 species